AGUCGAACGGCAGCACGGGCUUCGGCCUGGUGGCGAGUGGCGAACGGGUGAGUAAUACAUCGGAACGUGCCCUGUAGUGGGGGAUAACUAGUCGAAAGAUUAGCUAAUACCGCAUACGACCUGAGGGUGAAAGCGGGGGACCGCAAGGCCUCGCGCUACAGGAGCGGCCGAUGUCUGAUUAGCUAGUUGGUGGGGUAAAAGCCUACCAAGGCGACGAUCAGUAGCUGGUCUGAGAGGACGAUCAGCCACACUGGGACUGAGACACGGCCCAGACUCCUACGGGAGGCAGCAGUGGGGAAUUUUGGACAAUGGGGGCAACCCUGAUCCAGCAAUGCCGCGUGUGUGAAGAAGGCCUUCGGGUUGUAAAGCACUUUUGUCCGGAAAGAAAUGGCUCUGGUUAAUACCCGGGGUCGAUGACGGUACCGGAAGAAUAAGCACCGGCUAACUACGUGCCAGCAGCCGCGGUAAUACGUAGGGUGCGAGCGUUAAUCGGAAUUACUGGGCGUAAAGCGUGCGCAGGCGGUUUUGUAAGACAGGCGUGAAAUCCCCGAGCUCA
rnacentral:rRNA from 1 species